UGUGCGGCUGAAUAUUAUUAAAAAAUGAAAUAUCCAUACUAUUUUUAUUUUUAACAAUUAAUCUGCUAAAACUACCUGUGUAAGCCACGUUUUAUGAUUAAGCACGCACUAUGAGUAUAAUUUGUGGCUGUGGGACUGAAUAUUAUUUAAAAAAAAUGAAAAAUCUAUACUAUUUUUAUGCCCCCCUUCGAAGAAGAGAGGGUAUAUUGCUUUGCUCAUGUCGGUCGGUCGGUCGGUCCGUCCGUCAACCAGGUGGUUUCCGGAUGAUAACUCAAGAACACUUGGGGCUAGGAUCAUGAAACUUCAUAUGUACAUUGAUCAUGACUCGCGGAUGACCCCUAUUGAUUUUGAGGUCACUAGGUCAAAGGUCAAGGUCAUAGGUGAAGGUCACAGUUACUGGAAAUAGGCAUUUUAAGGAUUUAGCAUGGUUCAAACAAGGGAAACAACUACGGUUUAUGCAUGUUCUUUUUAUUACAGAUUUGCUUCCCUUUAAUUCAUUCAAAAUCUCAUUUUACAGUAGUAGUGACAAAGUUUAAGCUGCAUAGAAUAAUACUUGAUUUAUUGAUGAUGCUUUAUUUGUGCGGUUCCUUUCUUCUCACAAUAACAAUUGUAUUUUUGAUGUAUACUUAAAGAUGCAUUUAUUUAGAAUAUAUAUAUACUUAAAGAUGCAUUUAUUUAGAAUAUAUAUAUACUUAAAGAUGCAUUUAUUUAGAAUAUAUAUAUUUAGCUGUA